rnacentral:lncRNA from 1 species
UGGAAUUUGAUUGAAUUGUGUGAAUGAUGAAAAUGUUGAUGAUAAACCCGUGAAAUUUGAUUGAAUGGUGUGAAUGAUGAAAAGGUAGAUGUUAAACCAUGAAAUUUGAUUGCAUUGUGUGAAUGAUGAAAUGUUGUUGUUCAAGCCAUGAAAUUUGAUUGAAUUGUAUGAAUGAUGAAAAGGUAUAUAUUAAACCUAUGAAAUUUGAUUGAAUUGUGUUGAAUGAUGCAAAUGUUGUUGUUAAACCCAUGAAAUUUGAUUGAAUAGUGCGAAUGAUGAAAAUGCUGUUGUUAAUACCAGGAAAUUGGAUUGAAUGUGUGAAUGAUGAAAAUGUUGAUGUUAAACCUAUGAAAUUUGAUUGA